GGGAAAACAUUGUAUCCGUGAGAAGGGAAACUUCAGAGUCCAUUCUUCCCCGCUUGUUAAUGUCCUGAAUUACGUUCUCAUCAGUAUGCAUGACUGACCCUUCAGGUCUAGAGACCUUUGUUUGCUUCCUUUUCUGUACAGAAAUAGUCUAUGCUGCAAAUAGUUCUCUGCUGACGUUGUUUUGCUCCGAGACAUUUUUAUUGUUGAUGUUAUUGUUCCUCCUAGUUGCUAGCAACUCUCGUAACCUUGUCUCAAGUUGUCGCAUUGUUGGCCUCUCAUCCCCUUUCUGAGCUAAGCAGGUUGCAGCUAGUCCUGUAACUGUUUCGGCAUCUUUCCCAGCCUCCAGCAUAACCUGUGGGUCCAAAAUUUCACAUACUUUGUCCAAAGUAAUCAGUGAAUUAAAAUGUGAGACCAGACCUAUCUGCGCCGAUGACAGGAAUAAGAACGGUUUCUUUCUCGUCGGUAGCUCGACAAGCACUGCCCCGAAGCUAUAGACAUCCAAUUUUUCAGUUAAUCAGUGUGUAUGAUAAUACUCAAGGUCAAGGUACCCGAACGUGCCUUGGACACCUGUUGUAACCCCUGUUUUGUCAAUUGGUAUCUGUCUGGAAGUACCAAAAUCCGAUACUUUUGGGGUUAGGCAGUCAUCAAGCAAGAUAUUAUCUGUCUUUAUGUCUCUGUGCACUAUUGAUAUUGAUGAAGAUGAGUGCAAAUAUGUUAGAGCAUUCGCUACUGCAACAGCAAUGUUGAGGCGGUCUCUCCAGCUUAGCGCUUGAGGACCCUCAACAUGAAGAUGUUGUGAGAGUGUCCCGUUUGAAACAAACUCAUAGACCAGCAUUGGGCAUACUGUCUCGAGGCAACACCCAACCAAUUGAAUGAUAUUGCGAUGAUUUAUUGUGGAAAGAACAGCUACCUCAUUAAUGAAGCCGUCGAUCUCGCUUUGUACAGUGAGAUUGGAUUUUUUCACAGCGACAACCUGUUGAUUCAACAAUAUGCCCUUGUAAACUGUGCCAUGUCCACCCCUACCAAUCUUUCAGGUCUCGUCAAAGUUGUUCGUUGCCUUCUCUAGCUCGUCCAGACUAAACAAUAUCUUUUCAGAGAUAUCUUUAUCAACCAAUUGCUGUAGUAGCAAACCAUGGUUCUUCUUAAAGUUCUUUUCUUUGAGAUUCCUUCCUUUUCUUGCCUUCAGUUUCUUGUUUAGAACAAUAGCACCUAGCACUAGCAAUAAAAAGGCAAUGGCACUGGCAAGUAUGAUGAUGACCACAACACCUGUGAAACAACAUAAUGCCUCGGUUAAAAAAAAGUAUUAAUAAACAUGGGCAUUUAUAGUCCCAAUAAUGCACUCCGUGAAGAAUAAAGACAUAGCAGAAAAUCUUAUAGGAAACUUCACUCCUGUGCAUUUGUGAUUUACUCGGUUUCAGAAGUUCAGACUUGAAAUGUUACACGGCGUUACAACUUGUUUUAUCAUAAUCUAGACAUGAGUCAUGUACAUGUUCACUAUAACUAAUGUGAACUCAAUGAUUCAUUAGUAUGAAAUGAUCACUAUAGCAGCGACUACCACUUUUGUCAAUGUUGCAUUGUUACAGAAACACCAGAAGUUUUGUUUGGCUGCCGAGAGCCCACAUUGUUUUGAUUUUCAAGUGAUUAUAAGGUUAUUUUUGCAUGGUCAUACUUUAGUUAGGAAUAAACCCUACAGAUAUUGUAACAAGAUUCAUAGGUUAUUUCAGAGGAUGCAGCAGGGAAGGAUGAUCAGCAAAUGAAGCAGUCCUAGGAAUACAAAUAAGUUCUUCAGAGCAACAGUCUGCAUGAUAAUUUCGUUGCAAGUUGCAACAAAUAGAAUUUUAUGAAGCCACUUCACAAUCAAUUUUCAAUUGUAAAAUUAAUUUGUGAUUUUAUGGGUCCAAUCAUUUUUGUCCCACUCCCAUAAUAAAUAGUUUUCCAUACUAUGUCUUUGUCCUAGUGUUUAUACUUAGACAUACUCGUGUGCAGAAAUAUUAAAAUUAACUAUGUGGUCUAGGCACUAAUAUGUAAUCUUAGCAAUUAGUAGCAGCGUUACUAUGGUCUGGUUCAUUAACCAAUUAGCCUAGAUUUAUUCUGAUCACUUAAAUUUCUUUGCAUUAUGUUGGUAUGAGGAGUUAAAUAGACGGUUUGGGACGUACCAGACCACUUUGUCCUUGUUGUAGGAGCCCUGCAAUAUGUGACCCCACCACCAAUAGGCACGUAUGCCAGUACUUCUCCCGGUGGACAUGAGCAGGUGUAACUCCCUGGCCUGUUUUUGCAAAUCCCUGGGCAAGGAUAUUUCUCAACAUCGAGUCACUCAUUGAUAUCUGAAUCAAAAGAACAACAUCUCAGGAUGAAUCACAAACCUUAUAUAUGCAAACUAAUUAGUAGCUAGAAGAGGGGAAAUUUACCUUUGCAUCCCUCUACAGUAUAGGGAUUGCCUUCGUAGCCGCUGGAGCAAUUGCACAGAUAUCCUUGCCCGACCGAGGUGUCGACACAUUCAGUGUUUCUACCAACACACGCGUAGGACGUCCCAUUGAGUCGAGCUGCCUUGCAUGCAUACCCGCCUAUUGCCCAAUCCAUCACGGCUGGAACCUGCCCCUUUCUUGUGUCAUAGAAUUUCAUGGAGUCGAUAUAUGUGGUACUGUAGUCAAGUGCGGCUUCUUCCAUCACCAUCACGUAGCUGCAACGACUCCUGUACCUCAAUUCCUCUGUGGAGUUGUAGCUUUCUUUGAGGAACACCUUGUAAGAUGACAUAUUCCUCCGGAUCUCCGUUCGACAGCACCCAUAUCCAGAGCAUGAGCCGUUGUUGAGCCUCUCUUCUGGUAGGCAUCUUGAGAUGCAACCCCUAACGCUCUGCACAAAUUCAGAUGAUCAGCUGUUUCUGUUUCUGUUGAACAUUGAUCCACGUAACUAGCAGCAUGACCAAGAGAGGACGAAGGAGCAGAGAGAAACUGGAAAAUGAAAGAGGGACUUGACAGAUAACUUACAGAAUCAUCUUGUAUGACAUAAGCCACCGUGUUGCAGCCGAUAACGAAGAAUUUGUUGUCAUCUUCUGAGAAGCUGAACGGAGUGCCGCUCAGAUUAGCAGCAUGCUGGUAAGUCCUGAUUCCUGACGCCGUGUCGAUGCAGAGAUAUGAUAUAGGCAUGCUCAACUAAACUUUGCUCAGAGACAGAGAGAUACAGGUGACCUCGUAUGAACCGGCAUAGAGCAUCAUCCUGCCGCUUGAAUUGACACAAUCAAGACGGAACUCGCUACCCAUUGCGCACAGUGAGUUUAUCCCGAAGGGAUAGGGGACGUCCACUUGCCCGCAGGCUGUUGGGCAAUCUGAUGACUUGCAUGCCACUAACACGGCAAACAAGACGAGGCAGGAAAGAAGCACAGAGAGUUUAUCCAUGGCGAGUGACGAGAGGUGAGGAGCAGUAGUGGUGAGGAGGCAAGCACCGGUGUGAGAUGGGUGAAAGCAAGAGCCGGUAAGAUAUCCUUGCUAGCGAGCACUAGCAACAACAAACUAGCGUCGCCAACCUUACAUGCCAUAUCGAGAGUAAUUUGACAACAACACACGCCUUGUUCCUUGGCAUUUGCCAGAGAAGCAAAUAUUUCAUCAUCUUUACCAAAAUGACACACGUUUGAGUCAAAAAGCCCCAAAAUUGCAUUUCAUAUCAUGUACUCCAGCACCUGCAGCUACAGCAAGCCCCACAAUAGUAAGUACUACCUGCAGAGCAAGCAGCGCCUGGUCGCUCCUCGCCAUUUCGCACUGCACCUCCUCGCCUGGUGGCUCACGGCGACGAGACGCAGCGCGCCGCACCCUCCGCGUUCCGCUCCUCGUCUGGCGGCUCCAUGGCAACGAGCCGCGGCUCGCCGCGCCGCCUGCUUCGCUCCCGUUCCGGCACCCCGCACGCACGCUCCUCUUCCCGCCCUCCCGUCCUCCUCCGCGUCCCUCGGUUCCCGCCAGCCCUCCGAUGCGGGUACAUCCCUGGCGGCACCUCUCUUUCUUCUUAGGUCACAUGGUGAGGAAUCCAUCUGUUCGAUUCAAUCAGGUCUACAACCGAAGUGGUAACCGAAGGGCAUUCUCGUCACAUCUGCCUCCAGAACAUUAAUUUAUUUGUAUUUUUUGAUUGAUGAGAAGGAGAACGUUAAUUUCGGAGAGUACUUUUUUUCAUGACAAAAAAAAGUACAUUGAUUAUAUAUGGAAUUAAAGGGAGUGAUAGUAUAUUGAUAACUUCGUAUAUAUGAUUUCAAUAUCCUAAAAACAUAGCUACAUUAUACUAAUAAAUGGUUACUGUAUUCACAUUGUUUCAAGAAAAAAUCAACCUCCUACCUCAUCAAACGAUGUCACAUCAACAUUCUAUUACUAGUAACAUUUUUCUCUUUUCUCCACUAGAGAAAACCAUUACGUUUUUAUGUCAUAAUCACGGUUAGCACCACACCGAAGGGACCUAUGUUUAUCUGCAACCGCGCCCUUCAUGGCAUUUCUUACUUGAUGCUAUUAAAAACUGCUCUCGUCACCUUUUUUCACAAACGCCUUCCACGCAACUCUAGUAUGAAAAAAUGGCAUUCAUACACGCCUAAAAGAUAUAGCUAUCACUUUAACAACUAUACGCAUUUUGGCCCCUCUAGCUUUGAACAUGCACCACUAACAAAAAGAAAUAGAACGAAGUUGCUUAGAGGUGUAUCGGCAGUAGCAACAACAUAGGGUUGGACAUCUUUCUCAUAUUAGUAUGGCUACAUGAUCUGUUACACACAUUUCGUAAAGACUAAAUGUAAUUUAGAAGAAACAUUUUUUAAAAAUGUUGCAACUUCUUUUCAAAGUGUUAAUGGGUAUUCCUUAAAGUCUUCAAAUCACUUUUGUAAGUUACAUAUAUGUUACUUUAUUCUCAUUGUUUCAAGAAGAAAAAGCAACCUCCUACCUCAUCAAACCGUGUCACAUCAACAUUCUACUACUAGUAACACUCUUUUUCUCCACUAGAGAAAACCAUUGUGUUUUCAUGUCAUAAUCAUGAUUAGCACCAUACUGACGGGGGCUAUAUUUUUCUGCAACCACAACCUUCAUGGCAUUUCUUACUUGGUGCCAUUAAAAGCCGCUCUCGUCAUCUUUUUAUACAAAGCCUUCCGCACAACUCCAGUAUGAAAAAAGGCAUUCAUACACGCCUAAUAGACAUAGCUACCACUUUAACAACUAUAUGUAUUUUGGUCCCUCUAGCUUUGAAAAUGCGCCAACAACAAGAAAAAAACAGAACAAACUUGCUUGAGAGGUGGAUUGGCAGUAGCAACGACAUAAGGUUGGACAUGUUUCUCAUAUUAGUAUGGCUACAUGAUCCGUUACACACAUUUCGCAAAGACUAAAUGUAAUUUAGAAAUUAGGUGAACUACGCGAAAUAUUUUUCAAAAAAUGUUGCAACUUCUUUUCAAAGUGUUAAUGGAUAUUCCUUAAAGUCUUCAAACCAUUUUUGUAAGUUACAUAUAUGUUACUUUAUUCUCAUUGUUUCAAGAAAAAAAUCAACCUCCUACCUCACCAAACGGUGUGACAUCAACAUUCUAUUACUAGUAACGUUUUUCUCUUUUCUCCACUAGAGAAAAACAUUACGUUUGUAUGUCAUAAUCACGGUUAGCACCACACCGACGGGGCAUAUGUUUAGCUGCAACCACGCCCUUCAUGGCAUUUCUUACUUGGUGCUAUUAAAAAAUGCUCUCGUCACCUUUUUCCACAAAGCAUUCCAUGCAACUCUAGUAUGAAAAAAGGGCAUUCAUACACGCCUAAUGGACAUAGCUAUCACUUUAACAACUAUACAUAUUUUGGCCCCUCUAGCUUUGAACAUGCACCACUAACAAAAAGAAAUAGAACGGAGUUGCUUAGAGGUGUAUCGACACUAGCAACAACAUAGGGUUGGACAUGUUUCUCAUAUUAGUAUGACUACAUGAUCCGACACACAUUUCAUAAGGACUAAAUGUAAUUUAGAAAUUAGGUGAACUAUGCGAAACAUUUUCUUAAAAUGUUGCAACUUCUUUUCAAAGUGUUAAUGGAUAUUCCUUAAAGUCUUCAAACCAUUUUUGUAAGUUACAUAUAUGUUACUUUAUUCUCAUUGUUUCAAGAAAAAAUCAGUCUCCUACCUCAUCACACGGUGUCACGUCAACAUUCUACUACUAAUAACAUUUUUCUUUUUUCUCCAAUAGAGAAAACCAUUGUCUUUUCAUGUCAUAAUCACGAUUAGCACCACACUGACAGGGGCCUAUGUUUUUCUACAACCAUAACCUUCAUGGCAUUUUGCUCUAUGCCGGUGGGACAUAUUUCUCAAGUCGUUCCGGUGACCCGCGAAUAAGGAUGGUGUGGCAGCGGCGGCAUCCUCGUGGUGGACAUGUGUCCUCGGGCUCCGUCAAUGCGACGGUGUCUGCUCCAACAUGUUCGCGGACACUGUCGCAAUGACGGAGCUCGAGGACACAUGUCCAUCACGAGGAUGCCCUGCUGCCACACCAUCGUUGUUUGCGGGUCACCAGAGCGACUUGAGCAAUAGUCCUAAGACAACAUUGAGAGUGUGACGUUAAAAGAACAAUCAUAUUGAAUCGACCCAAACUUGAUUGUUAUGCAUUAAGAUAAUAUCAUAUGAAAUCAAUUGUUAUAACACAGAGUUUUAGCCUGUGUUUUAGUUCCUCAGACCAUGAGAGUUUCAUAGUCACUUCCUAUAGUAUGGUGGACUUUGGGGUUGAUCAAACAUCAUCUGUAACUAGGUGAUCAUACUAAUAACUUACAGGUUCAUCGAAAACUUGACAUGUGACUAGAUAACUCGAUAGUGGAAUUUGCUCCUCCGACGAUGGAGAGAUAUUCUUAGGGUCCUCUCAGUGUGAAGGCAUCCAUCAUUGUCUGGCCAGAAACAAGUGAUAUGUCACGGGGAUGAUGGAACACUUCAACAAGAAAGAAGAAUAAAAUCGGUAAUGAGAAGAACGGUAUAGUGAGCAUGUGCAUGACUUAGUAGGAUACCGAUCAUCUCGGGUUUUGUAAAGUAUCACAAAGAAAAGUGAACAUCACAUGAUAACCAAAGGUUCUCUAGAAUGUCAUUUGCAUAAUCAUAGGGAUCGAUAUGGACGUCCAUGGUUCCGCUAACGGUCAUUGAACGAAGGAGUUUCGUUCAUGUCUAUGAUUACUGAACCUACGUACGGGGUCACAAGCUUAAGGUAUCACGAUCUGUUGAGUGUUAGUAGGAUGAGAGUGUCGAGGAUUUAUUUGUGGAAUUCUUUUGUUAAUAUUCUGAAUAGUUUCAUGAGGAACCGGAAGCGUUUCGGGGUCACCAGAAGGGUUUCAGAGUUUAUCAGGCAAUACCAGGUAUUACCGAUAAAUAAUAUAUAGGUGGAAAAUGUUUUUGGAGAUGUUAAAUUGAUAAUAAAAUGCUCUAGUAAUAUUUAGAGGUAUUUUAUAUUUAAUUUAAUAUCAACGGUCCUUAAAAGGCCAAGUGGUGAAAUGAGUAUUGGGCCCCCAUGGCCCAAUAGGAAGUGGUGCCCGCCAUUCCUUGUGGGGAGGGGGCGCGAAACAGACUAGGGGAGGAGUCGAGUCGGACUCUUGCACCUUGGAUGGCGCCCCAAGGAAAGACUUUCCCUCCAUAGUGGUAGCCCCUCUCUCCCCCUCUAACCUAUAUAUACUUGAAGUAUUGGCCCUUUUGAAUAUAGAAGUUUUGGAGCCUCCUCUAGUUCCUCUAGUUCUAGUUCUAGUUGAUCAAUUAGAAUUUGACCUAAAUCCUCUAAUCCUCACAAUUAGAAGCCCAGUGUGGUUCUAAUCUCAUCCUUCUAACUCUCCGGUGAUGAUUAGCUCUGGACGGUGAAGCGUUGCUAGAUCAUGAAGACCGUACGCUUACAACCAAGCAGAGAGGUCGUGCUUUUGGUCUUCCAUUCGAGGGGUCGUUCAAGGGCAGUUUGCGGGAUCGUCAUCAAUGGUACGAGGGACUCAAAUUAUGACCUACAUCGACUCGUCUACUUCUGCUGCACUCCAGAGUCGGUAAUGAUCGUUGAUCCAAACCUUAUAUGUAUCUUUAUAUUGUUACUGGGUGAUCGUAGGGCGAUUUUUUGUUUUCUACUAUGUUCCCCAACCGAGCACGCUACAAAUAUGCAUUGGUGCUUGGUACUUCUUGAGCUUGCAUUGGUUUUUUCCUUGAAGAGGAAAGGGUGAUGUAGCAAAGUAGAGAUAAGUAUUUCCCUCACUUUGAGAACCAAGGUAUCAAUCUAGUAGGAGACAACGCACAAAUCACCUAAUACCUGCACAAACAAUCAAACAACUUGCACCCAAUGCGAUAAAGGGGUUGUCAAUCCCUUCACGAUCACUUGCAAAAGUGAGAUCUAAUAGAGAUAGAUAAACGGUAAAGUAAAUAUUUUUGGUAUUUUUGGUUUAUAGAUCGGAAAGUAAAAGAUUGCAAAUUAGUAGAUCGGAAACUAAUAUUGUAGAUCGGAAACUUAUAUGAUGGAAAAUAGACCCGAGGGUCAUAGGUUUCACUAGAGGCUUCUCUCAAGAUAGCAAAUAAUACGGUGGGUGGACAAAUUACUGUCGAGCAAUUGAUAGAAAAGUGCAAAGUUAUGACGAUAUCUAAGGCAAUGAUUAUGAAAUAUAGGCAUCAUGUCCGUGUCAAGUAGACCGAAACUAUUCUGCAUCUACUAUUAUUACUCCACACAUUGACAAGUCCUGCCUGCAUCUAGAGUAUAAAGUUCAUGAAGAAUAGAUUAAUGCAUUAAGUAAGCUGACAUGAUGUAGAGGAAUUAACUCAAGCAAUAUGAUGAAAACCCCAUCUUUUUUCCUUGAUGGCAACAAUACAAUAUGUGCCUUGCUGCCCUACUGUCACUGGGAAAGGACACCGCAAGAUUGAACCCAAAGCUAAGCACUUCUCCCAUUGCAAGAAAAAGCAAUCUAGUUGGCGAAACUAAACCGAUAGUUCGAAGAGAAUUACAAAGAUAUCAAAUCAUGCAUAUAAAAAUUCAGAGAAGAUUCAAAUAAUAUUCAUAUAUAUAUAUAAGCUGAUCAUAAAUCCACAAUUCAUCCGAUCUCUACAAACACACCGCAAAAGAAGAUUACAUCGGAUAGAUCUCCAAGAACAUCAAGGAGAACAUGGUAUUGAGAAUCAAAGAGAGAGAACAAGCCAUCUACCUACUAGUUAUGGACCCGUAGGUCUGAGGUAAACUACUCACACUUCAUCGGAAGGGCAAUAGAGUUGAUGUAGAAGCCCUCCGUGAUUGAAUCCCCCUCCGGCAGGAUGCCGGAAAAGGCCCCUAGAUGGGAUCUCACGGAUACAGAAGGUUGCGGCGGUGGAAAAGUGUUUUCGUGGAUGCUUCUGGUGGUUUGGGAAUAUAUGUGAAUAUAUAGGCAAAGGAAUUAGGUCAGGGGAGUCACGAGGGGCCCACAAGGGUGAGGCGCGCCCUACCCCCUGGGUGCGCCCUCCCCCUUGUGGCCGCCUCUUGGCUCUUCCGACUUGAUCUCAAAGUCUCUGGGGUGUCUUCUGGUCCAAGAAAAAUCAUCACAAAGGUUUCAUUCUGUUUGGACUCUGUUUGGUAUUCCUUUUCUGCGGAACUCAAAAAUAAGGAAAAAACAUAAACUGGCACUGGGCUCUAGGUUAAUAGGUUAGUCCCAAAAUUAAUAUAAAAUAGCAUAUUAAUGCAUAUAAACAUCCAAAACAAAUAAUAUAAUAGCAUGGAACAAUCAAAAAUUAUAUAUACGUUGGAGACGUAUCAAGCAUUCCCAAGCUUAAUUCCUGCUCGUCCUCGAGUACACUAUUGCAGGAUGCUGCUAACACGAGACUACGAUCAGAGACCCUUCGACAAAACUGUGUGUGAUGCAAUAAUCACAAAAGGUGAUGUAAAAAACCGUCAAAAAAGGUGCAAAACAUUUGCGAUGACGGAUGCAUCAAAUACGGUUCAGAUUUUAGUUGCGUGUGCAAUGAAGGGCAUACAGUUAAGUUCAAUGAACUGUUUGCGAUGAGGAAGAAGAAUAGAAACGGGAAGCCAGAUGAAGGUGUGUGCGAUAUACAGCAUACGGUUCACUCAGAUGAACUGUUUGUGAUUAGGCAGCACAAAAGAAACGGUCAGCCAGAUCAAGGCGUGUGCGAUAUACAGCAUACGGUUCACUCGGAUGAACUGUUUGUGAUUAGGCAACACAAAAGAAACGGUCAGCCAGAUCAAGGCGUGUGCGAUAUAAGGCAUACGAGGCGGUAGGAGCCCUCGAGUCGAGGCGGUAGGAGCACGGAGCCGCAGCGGUACGACGGCGGAGGGCUCCAAGCGGUACUACCGCUGAGGAGCGGUACUGCCGCUUGUUGCACUCGGGCGGUACUACCGUUGUGGCCCGUGGUACUACCGCUAGGACCAAACGAAGCACAUAUGAAGGGGAAUGAGAUGUCCAUUGAAGCGGAAAGGCUCAGAGGGUGUGACAAGGAUGUGUACGUGUUGAUUCCACCCUAGCCUUACCAAAGCGGGCCCCCUCUUGAUAGUACGGUGACUCCUACGAAACUAGUCCACCAACAUAGAAAUGAAAGAGCUGCACCGUCUUGAAUAACACUCCGAGGGGAGGGAAUCGUCUCGUGCCAAAGGAUGAAUCUCUGAAAAACUCAACGCACACGAUUAGUCCGCAAAAGCAUUGUCAUCAAUCACCAAAACAUCUUAGGUAUAAAUAUGCCCUUAGACCCUUCCUUUCCUCUCCCCUCUCUUCCUUUUCCCUUCCGGCAAAUAUGGUAGGGGGGGGCGAAUUGGAAUAGGCCCCCAAGUAGGAUUCCUCCUACUUGGGAUGCCCCAAGGUUGUUUCCCUCCCCCUCCCACCUAUAUAUACGUGGGGAGAGGGCACCUAGAACACACACCAACAAUUGUUAGCCGUGUGCGGCGCCCCCCCUCCACAGUUUACACCCCCGAUCAUAGUUUUGCGGUGCUUAGGCGAAGCCCUGCGAGAAUUACUUCACCAUCACCGACACCACACCGUUGUGCUGACCGAACUCAUCUACUUCCUCAACACCUUGCUGGAUCAAGAAGGCGAGGGACGUCAUCGUGCUGAACAUGUGCAGAACUUAGAGGUGUGUACGUUCGGUACUUGAUCGGUCAGAGCUAGAAGAAGUUUGACUACAUCAACCGCGUUGCCAAACGCUCCCGCUUUCAGUCUACGAGGGUAUGUGGACACACUCUUCCCCUCUCGUUGAUAUGCAUCUCCUAGAUAGAUCUUGCGUGAGCAUAGGAAAUUUUUUGAAAUUACAUGCUACGUUCCCAACAUUUACCCCGGGUGCCGGACCCGUCCGUUUUGUGCCUGCGUGCACUAGGGGCAAAAGACCCUUGUACCCCUGGUUUUCCCCAAUUUCAUGCCUAGCCUAUAAGUACUCAUCACCUAGAUUAUUUUAGGGGCUAGCAAAGUAUUGGAUAGACAUUGAGAGAUCUUUGCUCAUCUUCCCCCUCCUCUUGGAGAUCAAGACCCCUCUUGGGAAGAAUCCUAGUGGAUUAUCAAGGCCUACUCUUGGAGAAGAUCAUCACCAAGACCUCACCUCCUUUGGAGUGGGAAGAAAUUUACCCUAGUGCUAUUUUCCUUGGAUUGUCUUUGUAUUCUUGUGGAUCUUUUGUAUGCUACUCUAGUGGAAGUGUAAUUGGGUUUGCUUGAGUGAUUUUCCCCUUAUGUUCUUGUGAGUUCAUCACUUUUCCCCCUCCAAGUGUGAAAAGAUCCCUCCUAGGGUUACAUCCUACAACAGGAACAUUUUUUGGAAUUCAGAAACAUUUUUUUGAAUUUGUGAACAAAUUUUGAAAACGUGAACAUUUUCUGAAAUUUGGUAACAUGUUUUGGAUUUCAUGACCAAAUUGUUUUAAAAUGCGAACAUUUUCUAAAUUUCUAGUACUUUUCCAAGAUUUAAGAACAAUUUGUUUUAAAUUCCAAGAUUUUUGGAAAAUAAAAAACAAAAACAAAGAAGAAGGAAGUAGAAAGGAAAAAAAAGGAAACAAGCACACAAAAAACGAUAAUGAAAGAAGAAAAAAACUGAAACUGAAAAAUGAAAAAUAAAAAAUAAAGAAAAACGUAUAGGAAACCUUCUAGACGGUUCCCAAAACCAGAAAAACAAGCUAUGUGCCACUUACCAUGACGCCAGCAUCGAGCCAGAACUCGGCCAACCCAGUAAUCAGAAGCUGCAUCAUGUCGAUGUCAUGCGUGAUUUUUUGGUUUUUGGUUUUUCCAUCAAAUUUUUAUUUUUAUGUUUAUUAAUUUGUUUAUAUUUCGAAUAUUCUAAAUGUAUAAAUAUUACAAAAGUAUUUUCAUAAAAAAUGUUAAUUUUGUAUUUAAAAAUGUUAAACAUGUAUAGAAAAUUAUGUCUAGUUCAUACGAAAAAGUAUACAGCUUGAAUGAAAAAAGUAUAAAUAUUAAUCAUGUGUACCAAAAAUUAAAAUCAUGUGUACGAAAAAUGUUUAUCAUGUGUAUGAAAAAUUGUGUCUCAAAAAAAAUGUGUAUGGAAAAUUCUCUAACUAUUAGUAAAUGGAGCAUCCCAAGAAAACUGUAUGUGACAUUUAAAAAUGUUUAUACAAUUUAAAGAAAAUGUUUCUGUAGUUCAAAUAAAUGUUUCGUACAUUUAAAGAAAUAUAUGUCACAUUUAAUAAAAUAUUCACAAAUUUCAAAAAUGUUUUCCUGACAUUUUUAGAAGGAAAUAUUGCACAAUAUACAAAAAUGUUAGAGUUAAAAACAGGUUUUUUUAUCAUUCAAAAAACUUGACAAUAUGUAUUGAAAAUAUCUUUAACACAUAUUUGUAAAAUACAUUUAAAACAUGUGUUGGUAAUGUUAAAAUAGUUUAAAAAACGUUUUACAUGUAUACAGAAAAUGUACAACGUGUAUGACAAAGUAAUAUUUUUGCUUUUUUGUUUUAGUUUCUUUUUCUCUUUCUUUCUUUUCUUUCUUUCUUUCUUUCUUUCUUUGUGAUUCAUUCUUUCUCUUUUUGUUUGUCUUUAAUAUCUCCGCUUUCUUUUAUUCUCUAUUUGUCAAAUUUAUUUUCUUCCAAACUUGUUCAAAAAUUUCAAAUAUUUUUUGUAAUUUCAAAAAAUGUCUGUGGUUUCAAAAAAAUCACAAUUUAGAAAAAAAAUCUAGUUUUUAAGAAUCUGAUUGCAUUUCCACAAAAGUGUUCAAAUUAAUAUUUUGUUGCAUUUUAAAAAAUGUUCUUGUUUUUCAUAUAUAUAUUCUGAAUUCGAAAAUAUGUUCAUGUUUUAACAAUACUGAAAAUUAAAAAAUCUUCAUGUUUGAAAAAAAUCGGAAAAUUAGAAUAAUUUGUUCAUGAUUUUCAGAAAAUUGUUCAUGUGCUUAAUUAUAUUCAAAUUUUCGAAACUCAUUCACGUUUUAAACAAAUCAGGAUUUAAAAAAUUAUUCAUGUUUUUCAAAAAAAUGAAAUUACAAAACAUGUUUGGAAUUUAGGAAAAAUGCAUAUUUCUUAAAAAUAUUGUUGAGGGAAUUAUUUGCGGGUUUUCAUAGUACAUGGCGCCUCUCUGUACUCAAUUAUUCUACAAUAGAAAUUGCAACAAUUACUAAGCUAUAGAAAGUAGUCAGUAAUAAUAUGAUGACCAUUAGGCAAAGCUUAUCAACUCAAGGAAAUAAAUUAACAAACCACCACAUUCUUCUACUGUUGCCCUUUUUCGACUAAAUGUCCACUUAGCAACAAGAAUUCAAAUACAUGGUUCUUUUUUACCUUGUUGUCCAUUAUAAGGGAAAAUAUUCAUCGCUAAACACCUUCAGGCGCAAACAUGAACCGCUAGUAGCGCUUGGUAGGAAAAUAUAUUACGUCAUAUUGUUUUUGGUGAAAGUAAAUGCUGUUAUGCUUGGUUUAUCUGUAAACUCUCACGUGCCUGACUGGCACGGCAGUGCUUUGACCCUUGCCCGUGCAUGUUUCUUAUCCCUCUCUAUGUCGUAAACCUUGGCGAUUCCUGUUUGGUGGGCGAGUCGCUGGAUAGCCACCCAGCACAAUCCCUUCCCAUUCGCCAUGUCUUGCGUAUGGGUCGGUCAUACAUGCGCUCCCCGACUUUGGGAAGGAUCUAGAACCUUUCCUGCACUGGUUUUAUUUUUCUUUUGUUUCUUUCACCUGUUUUUUUCUUUUCGAUUUUUAUUUUAUUUUUCUUCUUACUUUUCUUUUUAUUUUAAAAUUUCGUGAACAUUUGUUGAACCACGAACAAUUUUUGCAAUUUGUGAACAAUUUUUCAAAGCAUAAACAUUGUUUGCCAAGUUUGUGAAUAAUUUGAAUUCCUGGUCAUAUUUUUGUUCACCGAAUUCAAAAAAUGUUCAUCCAAUUCAAAUAAUUUUCAUUGAUUUCAAAUUUUGAUCAUCAAAUUCGAAAAAGUUCAUCAAUUUCAGGAUGCAACUGUAACUGCCUCAACAUGUAUGGAACCUGAGGGUGAUGCAACUGUAACUGCCUGAGCAUGUACGGAACCUGAGGGUGUAACUGUUAACUGCCUGAGUGUGGUUUACUUGCAGUUUCAGCUGCUGGAAUUGUUGUUCACAUUUCGUGAUGGUUCAGUUUUGGGCAGUCCUAUGUAUGGGGACGGCGAGAAUCUACCCUUUAGUUGAGACCAAAGAAAAUAGGUAUAUGAGAUGGAGUUUAAAAAUUAAAAACUCUUAAGCAAUGUUUGAAUAAAAUCUGACAUUGUUCAAAGUCAGUUUUUCCACGUGUGUGCGUAUAGUUAUGAGCUGAUAAAUUUGCAAGUGCUGUCCAAAAAGAAAUACGAAUGAGGCGGUGGUUAAUGCAUGUGUGCACAUAUUUGUUAGUUUGAUUAAACAUGGCCUGUGUGUUAUGAAAAAUUUGCACUAACAUGAAUCAGGAUCCCACAUGAUAUGAUUCCCAAUGAGGGAUUAGCAGAUAUCGUCGCCAACCAUUGGCUUAAAGGUGGAUUAAUGGGAACGAGUUUGUACCAUCAUGUUGAAGCAGCAUGAACAAGUUGGUGAAGUUAAGCUGGGUUAGCCACAAGAUUCAGAUAUCUGUUGGAACUUAGUCAGGUUAUGAAAAGUCUAAUACAUGAUGAUUACAAUAUUGCCACAUAGUGCUAAAGUUCAGGACUGGCAUGCAAGCAAAUGGCUGGCCCGGACACACGAGUCCUUAGAAGACAUAACAUAACAAUUCAAGCUCUACGAUGGGUGGGUACAUAGGAGUCUGUCCUAAUGCCAAAUGCAGAGUCUCAAGGGGCAAGCACCUUCCAAAUUGCAUCUUGGGGGCGAGAGACAAGGAGCUGCCCUACAGCUUCAGGCACUCAUGCAGGGCUGCCCGCUCUGUUCUGGAUACAUCGUAUGUGCAUUAACGGCGACGUAGACCAGUGAGCUUAUAUUUCACACGUGUAAACUAGAGGAAGAUAUAAAAAAUAUCAAGUUGAGGAAUAAUACCUUCAUUAAGGGUAGCUUUAGCUUGUCCCCCUCAAAAUGCGGCCCAAUAUGGACAACACAGCCACCAGUGUAAGUGCUGGAAAAUGUAACAUGUGUCAGCAGUGUAGUUAGGUUAGUCGUAUGAGGGAAAAUAGCUUCAUGAUCGCAGAGAAACAUGACAUGACAAACAAGAAACUUACCGGGAAAACAUUUUAUCCGUGAGAAGGGAAACUUCAGAGUCCAUUCUUCCCUGCUUGUUAAUUUCCUGAAUUACGUUCUCAUCAAUAUGCAUGACUGACCCUUCAGGUCUACAGACCUUUGUUUGCUUCCUUUUCUGUACAGAAAUAGUCUGUGCUGCAAAUAGUUCUCUGCUGACGUUGUUUUGCUCCGAGACAUUUUUAUUGUUGAUGUUAUUGUUCCUCCUAGUUGCUAGCAACUCUCGUAACCUUGUCUCAAGUUGUCGCAUUGUUGGCCUCUCAUCCCCUUUCUGAGCUAAGCAGGUUGCAGCUAGUCCUGCAACUGUUUCGGCAUCUUUCCCAGCCUCCAGCAUAAGCUGUGGGUCCAAAAUAUCACAGACUUUGUCCAAAGUAAUCAAUGAAUUAAAAUGUGAGACCAGACCAAUCUGCACCGAUGACAGGAAUAAGAACAGUUUCUUUCUUGUCAGUAGCUCGACAAGCACUGCCCCGAAGCUAUAGACAUCCAAUUUUUCAGUUAAUCGGUGUGUAUUAUAAUACUCAGGGUCAAGGUACCCGAGGGUGCCUUGGACACCUGUUGUAACCCCUGUUUUGUCAAUUG
rnacentral:lncRNA from 1 species